CCAAUAGCGUAUAUUAAAGUUGUUGCAGUUAAAAAGCUCGUAGUUGAAUUUCGGGGUCAGCAGGUUGGUCGUGCCACUGGUAUGCACUGGCCUCGCUGAUUCCUCCCUCUUGUAGAACUGUAAUGCCAUUAAGUUGGUGUUGCGGGGAAACAGGACUGUUACUUUGAAAAAAUUAGAGUGUUUAAAGCAGGCUAACACUUGAAUACAUUAGCAUGGAAUAAUGAAAUAGGACGAUCGAUCCUAUUUUGUUGGUUUCUAGGGUUGACGUAAUGAUUAAUAGGGAUAGUUGGGGGCAUUAGUAUUCAAUUGUCAGAGGUGAAAUUCUUGGAUUUAUUGAAGACUAACUACUGCGAAAGCAUUUGCCAAGGAUGCUUUCAUUAAUCAAGAACGAAAGUUAGGGGAUCGAAGACGAUCAGAUACCGUCGUAGUCUUAACCAUAAACUAUGCCGACUAGGGAUCGGAUGAUGUUAAUUUUUUAAUGACUCAUUCGGCGCCUUACG
rnacentral:rRNA from 1 species